rnacentral:rRNA from 1 species
AGCGAACGCUGGCGGCAGGCCUAACACAUGCAAGUCGAACGAACUCUUCGGAGUUAGUGGCGGACGGGUGAGUAACACGUGGGAACGUGCCCUUUGGUACGGAAUAACUCAGGGAAACUUGAGCUAAUACCGUAUGUGCCCUUCGGGGGAAAGAUUUAUCGCCAUUGGAGCGGCCCGCGUCUGAUUAGCUAGUUGGUGAGGUAAAGGCUCACCAAGGCUACGAUCAGUAGCUGGUCUGAGAGGAUGAUCAGCCACAUUGGGACUGAGACACGGCCCAAACUCCUACGGGAGGCAGCAGUGGGGAAUCUUGCGCAAGGGGCGAAAGCCUGACGCAGCCAUGCCGCGUGAAUGAUGAAGGUCUUAGGAUUGUAAAAUUCUUUCACCGGGGACGAUAAUGACGGUACCCGGAGAAGAAGCCCCGGCUAACUUCGUG